GUCAUUUCCCAAAUAAUUAUAUAACUGAAACAUUUACAUUAAAUUUACCAAAUUGGCAAAUGCAGCGUUACGUUAGAUAAAGUUUUCAAAAAUACUUGAAUGUGUGUUUGAACGACUUAUCAACCAAUUCAACAGAGGAAAAGUCACAUAUAAGAACAGCUUUUACUUUUUUUCCAUUUUCGGUUUUUCCGGCCAAAUAACAGGUAUGAUAAGCGUGUCUUCUCGUUGUCACAUGGGCUGUUCCUUCACUUCUUUGGUGUAAGACGUAGUUACCGACGUUCUUUGACUUCGCAAGCUGACCGAUGUGUGUUGCGUUAAUCUCCGUGGACGGCUGUUUCUUUCUUUACCAACGAAAGCGAGCAAAGUUCGCCUGUAAUCGGGUAGACGUAGGGCAUAUAGAAUUGGGUUAGCCCCAAAAUUCAACAUGGCAAUUGGUACGUAACAAUAGGAGAGG